rnacentral:rRNA from 1 species
GAUGAACGCUGGCGGCGUGCCUAAUACAUGCAAGUCGAGCGAAUGGAUUGAGAGCUUGCUCUUACGAAGUUAGCGGCGGACGGGUGAGUAACACGUGGGUAACCUGCCCCUAAGACUGGGAUACCUCCGGGAAACCGGGGCUAAUCCCGGAUAACAUUUUGAACCGCAUGGUUCGAAACUGAAAGGCGGCUUCGGCUGUCACUUAUGGAUGGACCCGCGUCGCAUUAGCUAGUUGGUGAGGUAACGGCUCACCAAGGCAACGAUGCGUAGCCGACCUGAGAGGGUGAUCGGCCACACUGGGACUGAGACACGGCCCAGACUCCUACGGGAGGCAGCAGUAGGGAAUCUUCCGCAAUGGACGAAAGUCUGACGGAGCAACGCCGCGUGAGUGAUGAAGGCUUUCGGGUCGUAAAACUCUGUUGUUAGGGAAGAACAAGUGCUAGUUGAAUAAGCUGGCACCUUGACGGUACCUAACCAGAAAGCCACGGCUAACUACGUGCCAGCCGCCGCGGUAA